UAGGGAAUCUUCCGCAAUGGACGAAAGUCUGACGGAGCAACGCCGCGUGAGUGAUGAAGGCUUUCGGGUCGUAAAACUCUGUUGUUAGGGAAGAACAAGUGCUAGUUGAAUAAGCUGGCACCUUGACGGUACCUAACCAGAAAGCCACGGCUAACUACGUGCCAGCAGCCGCGGUAAUACGUAGGUGGCAAGCGUUAUCCGGAAUUAUUGGGCGUAAAGCGCGCGCAGGUGGUUUCUUAAGUCUGAUGUGAAAGCCCACGGCUCAACCGUGGAGGGUCAUUGGAAACUGGGAGACUUGAGUGCAGAAGAGGAAAGUGGAAUUCCAUGUGUAGCGGUGAAAUGCGUAGAGAUAUGGAGGAACACCAGUGGCGAAGGCGACUUUUCUGGUCUGUAACUGACACUGAGGCGCGAAAGCGUGGGGAGCAAACAGGAUUAGAUACCCCUGGUAGUCCACGCCGUAAACGAUGAGUGCUAAGUGUUAGAGGGUUUCCGCCCUUUAGUGCUGAAGUUAACGCAUUAAGCAUUCCGCCU
rnacentral:rRNA from 1 species